UAGGGAAGCGUCCGCAAUGGACGCAAGUCUGACGGAGCAACGCCGCGUGAGGGAAGAAGGAUUUCGGUUCGUAAAACGCUGUUGUUAGAGAAGAACAGCGCAUAGAGGAACUGUGAUGCGUGUGACGGUAUCUAACCAGAAAGCCACGGCGAACGACGUGCCAGCAGCAGCGGUAAUACGUAGGUGGCAAGCGUGGUCCGGAUUUAUUGGGCGUAAAGCGAGCGCAGGCGGUCAAUUAAGUCUGAUGUGAAAGCCCCCGGCUCAACCGGGGAGGGUCAUUGGAAACUGGUUGACUUGAGUGCAGAAGAGGAGAGUGGAAUUCCAUGUGUAGCGGUGAAAUGCGUAGAUAUAUGGAGGAACACCAGUGGCGAAGGCGACUCUCUGGUCUGUAACUGACGCUGAGGCUCGAAAGCGUGGGUAGCAAACAGG
rnacentral:rRNA from 1 species